GACUAGCUGGUCUAAUGGGAAGGCGCUCCACUCGAAUCGCAAGGUUAGCCCUUUUGGGCAUUUUGGAGAGAUGCGGGUUCAAAUCCCGCCAUAGUCG